GAAAGAUUAUGAUCAUCAUACGGGGACUACUUCAUUUGCCCAGAUUGAGGAUCAAUUUUGUAGGACAACGAACGCUCCCUUUAUCCCGCUACCAGAACUGCACAGGAGGACGAUGGUUCAAUUUAAGAAGGGGUACGAUGACGAUGAGAAUAGGAAACAAAAGCUAGAAUUGGCCAAGAAAAUGCAGGAAGCUCUGGAAAACACAUAUUCUGAGGUUGUUGCACAGAGCCAAGAGCCCCUGACUAGAGAGCAGAAUUAUAAUGUGAGCCAUUUAGUUUGUGGACUUCCCAAAAAGGGGAGGACCAGGUGGAUGGGAGUUGGAGCUCAGAGGGUGUCUACACAAU